GGCAGUGGUAGCUCAGUGGUUAAGAUGUUGACCUUCUGAUUUGAAAGUCCUGAGUUCAGAUCCCAGCACUGCCA